CGAACGCUGGCGGCGUGCUUAACACAUGCAAGUCGAACGGAAAGGCCUGCUUUCCCUUGUGGAUUGCGGGUGCUCGAGUGGCGAACGGGUGAGUAACACGUGAGUGAUCUGCCCCCAACUUGGGUAUAAGCCCGGGAAACUGGGUCUAAUUCCCGAUAGGACUGCAGGGUGGUGCCUGUGGUGGAAAACGAUUUUCUAGUGGUUGGGGAUGAGCUCGCGGCCUAUCAGCUUGUUGGUGGGGUAAUGGCCUACCAAGGCGGCGACGGGUAGCCGGCCUGAGAGGGUGGACGGCCACAUUGGGACUGAGAUACGGCCCAGACUCCUACGGGAGGCAGCAGUGGGGAAUAUUGCACAAUGGGCGGAAGCCUGAUGCAGCGACGCCGCGUGGGGGAUGACGGCCUUCGGGUUGUAAACUCCUUUCGACCGCGAGGAAGCCACCUGGUUGGAAGGGUGGUGACGGUAGUGGUAGAAGAAGCACCGGCUAACUACGUG
rnacentral:rRNA from 1 species